rnacentral:rRNA from 1 species
GAUGAACGCUAGCGGCAGGCCUAAUACAUGCAAGUCGAACGGUGUAGCAAUACACAGUGGCGCACGGGUGCGUAACACGUAUGCAACCUACCUAUCAUUGGGGGAUAGCCUUUGGAAACGGAGAUUAAUACCGCAUAAGACAGUAACAUGGCAUCAUGUAGCUGUUAAAGCUUCGGCGAUGAUAGAUGGGCAUGCGUCCAAUUAGUUAGUUGGUGAGGUAACGGGUCACCAAGGCGAUGAUUGGGAGGGGAUCUGAGAGGAUAAUCCCCCACACUGGGACUGAGGUACGGGCCAGAAUCCUACAGGAGGCAGCAGUAGGGAAUAUUGGGGAAUGGACGGAAGUCUGACCCAGCCAUGCCGCGUGCAGGAUGAAGGCGUUAUGCGUUGUAAACUGCUUUUUUAUAGGAAGAAAGAGACCUUGCGAGGUUUGGUGACGGUACUAUAAGAAUAAGCACCGGCUAACUCUGUGCCAGCCGCCGCGGUAAAAC